rnacentral:rRNA from 1 species
GACGAACGCUGGCGGCGUGCUUAACACAUGCAAGUCGAACGGAAAGGCCCUGCUUUUGUGGGGUGCUCGAGUGGCGAACGGGUGAGUAACACGUGAGUAACCUGCCCUUGACUUUGGGAUAACUUCAGGAAACUGGGGCUAAUACCGGAUAGGAGCUCCUGCUGCAUGGUGGGGGUUGGAAAGUUUCGGCGGUUGGGGAUGGACUCGCGGCUUAUCAGCUUGUUGGGGGGGUAGUGGCUUACCAAGGCUUUGACGGGUAGCCGGCCUGGGAGGGUGACCGGCCGACGGUGGGACGGAGGAAGGGCCAGACCCCCACGGGGGGACGGCGGGGGGAAUUUUGGCACAAGGGGGGGAGGCGGAGUGCGGAACCCCCGUGUGGGGGAGACCGGCUUGCGGGUUGAAACCCGUUUCGCCUUGGGAGGAGGGGGGAGUGACGGUAAUGGAAAAAGAAGCCCCGGCUAACUCCGUG